rnacentral:rRNA from 1 species
GACGAACGCUGGCGGCGUGCUUAACACAUGCAAGUCGAACGGAAAGGCCCCUUCGGGGGUACUCGAGUGGCGAACAGGUGAGUAACACGGGAGUAACCUGCCCUUGACUUCGGGAUAACUUCAGGAAACUGGGGCUAAUACCGGAUAGGAAUCCUUGCUGCAUGGUGGGGGUUGGAAAGCUUCGGCGGUUUUGGAUGGACUCGCGGCUUAUCAGCUUGUUGGUGGGGGAGUGGCUUACCAAGGCUUUGACGGGUAGCCGGCCUGAGAGGGCGACCGGCCACAUUGGGACUGAGAUACGGCCCAGACUCCUACGGGAGGCAGCAGUGGGGAAUAUUGCACAAUGGGCGGAAGCCUGAUGCAGCAACGCCGCGUGCGGGAUGACGGCCUUCGGGUUGUAAACCGCUUUCAGCAGGGGCGAAGCUUGUGGUGACGGUACCUGCAGAAGAAGCACCGGCUAACUACGUG